AAUGAACGUUGGCGGCGUGGAUUAGGCAUGCAAGUCGCGCGAGAAGUUUCCUUCGGGAGACGGACAGCGGCGGAAGGGAGAGGAAUAAGUAGAAAUCUGCCCUCGGGACGGGGAUAGCGGCGGGAAACUGCCGGUAAUACCCGAUAACAUCUUUGGAUCAAAUGGCGUGAUUCCGCCUGAGGAUGAGUCUACUUCCUAUUAGCUAGUUGGUGUGGUAAUGGCUCACCAAGGCAACGAUGGGUGGCGGGUGUGAGAGCACGAUCCGCCUCACUGGGACUGAGACACUGCCCAGACACCUACGGGUGGCUGCAGUCGAGAAUCUUCGGCAAUGGGGGAAACCCUGACCGAGCGACGCCGCGUGCGGGAUGAAGGCCCUCGGGUUGUAAACCGCUGUCGUAAGGGAACAAUCUAAGAGGGUACUCCCUUUUAGUUGAGUGAUCUUAGGAGGAAGGACGGGCUAAGUUCGUG
rnacentral:rRNA from 1 species